CACUGCGGGUCUUGGAACACAUCACCCCUUGAAUAAGGGGUCUAUAGUAUUUCAGGCAGAGUGAAGGGGAAGGGCAAGGGGUAGAGGGUCUUUCUUCCAGCUGAAUCAGUCCCCUUGAAAAAGACUUCGCAGAAACCUCACCCUGGGACUUUUGUCUGGAUUCAAGAGAGGCAGCAAAAUGCAGUCUUUUAGCUGCGCAUGUUGCAGCCCUGAAUAGAGCCCAAGGUCUGUUAAUUAAGGAAGAAGCAGGGAAUGGACAUUGGGUAGACUGUUGUGGUGUGUUUGGAGGAACGUCAAGUUCUUAGUGUUGCCAGAGCCUGAGGUGCCAGAGGGCACGUGGUGGGAGGAACGUGGUGCAGCACCCAGCCACUCAGGAAAGGGGAGGCACAGCCAAGACGGGGGCAGGAUGGAAAGUCCAUGGAUGCUGCAGGGCUUAGACCUAGCCUUAAAUGUGAAUCCAUCCCUGGAGUUGGAGUAUCAGGGUAUUUCUUUUCUCUUUUGGCUCCUUUCCUUCUUCCAUUUUUUUUCCUUCCCUCCUUUUCCACUUUAUUCUUCCCCUUCCUUCCCAUUCCACUUCUCUCUUCGCAAGAGCUGCAGAUUUGGGUUCCAGUCUGAGAUGAGUUGGAAGGUGGGGAGGAGCCCUGCUCUCAGGCACAGUGGAUUGAAGGGGGGCUGAAUCAGUCACAUGGUGUUUGAGGACUCCCAUUGUAAAUCAGGGAUUCUUGCAGCCUGCUUUUUCAGGGACAUUGGCUGCUGUCUUCUGACCACUCUGUGUGACUUUGGCGUCUCCUGUGACCUCCCAGUAUGGGUCUUGGUGUCAUCCUGCCUCUCUGUCUUUCUGGCCCACCACCCCCAACUUGAAUCUCAGGCUCCAACAGUUGCCUGACCCCCAGAUUCUGAUGACAGCCUACCUACUUGUUCUUCAGACCCUGACCAGACUCACUGCCCAGACACACCAUACACGAGAACAUGAAAGGGUAUUUGAGUUUGGGGCCAUGUCAUAGGAUGCACCUUGAAAUGAGCCACGAAAUGUGCAGUCUAAUGGUCUCUGUUGAUCCAUUUGCUGUCUGUGAAACUCCAGAAGUCAGGUAAUUAACUAUUUCUUCUGCAAUACAGUGUCUUUAUACUUAACAGUUAUUCUAAUUCUUUAUAUAACCAUUAACAUCUACAUCUGAGUCAUAAAGCAUUGAAAUGAACCCUUGGUUAUUGUAUUUUCAGCUAAUAAUUAAUGCUAUGCACCAUGUGAUCAUAAACCUGCUCUCUUUUUUUUGCAUUAAUUGGUAACCUGGUCCAACCAGACUCUUAACACGAUUGUCCCCGUGUGAGUUUAGUCAUUAUUUUGACUUCACUGAUUAUUGGCAUUUAUUACUUAAGAGCUAAGAAACAGCAACUAAUUGAACAUAUUAUGAAACAUGUUUCCUCCUGCCUUUUCCAUUGUGGGAAAGCAUGACUGCUUAAUGGGCCACUGCUUAUCCCCAUUCAAAUCCUGUGUGCAUUGACUUUGUAGAUUACACCUCAGAAGACUUCUCAUGUUUCGUUUCCCCACAUUUUCUAUGGACAAAUUUCCAUCAACUACAUAUACUGCUUUGCAGAAACGAACAUCUCAAAAUCUGAGGAAGAGUAGAUAAUUUUAGGAAGGGUGACAGAAUGGGGAAAGCGGUAAACAGUAUCUGAAGAAGUAGAAAAUGACUUGAAUUUUAGAAUUGGGUUAUGGUGGCCAGGCGCGGUGGCUCAAACCUGUCAUCCCAGCACUUUGAAAGGCUGAGGUGGGUGGAUCGUUUGAGGUCAGG